GACGAACGCUGGCGGCGUGCUUAACACAUGCAAGUCGAACGGUGAAAGCGGAGCUUGCUCCGCUGGAUCAGUGGCGAACGGGUGAGUAACACGUGGGCAACCUGCCCCUCACUUCGGGAUAACUCCGGGAAACCGGGGCUAAUACCGGAUAUGACCUCCUUGGGCAUCCUUGGAGGUGGAAAGUUUUUCGGUGAGGGAUGGGCCCGCGGCCUAUCAGCUUGUUGGUGAGGUAGUGGCUCACCAAGGCGACGACGGGUAGCCGGCCUGAGAGGGCGACCGGCCACACUGGGACUGAGACACGGCCCAGACUCCUACGGGAGGCAGCAGUGGGGAAUAUUGGACAAUGGGCGCAAGCCUGAUCCAGCCAUGCCGCGUGAGUGAUGAAGGCCUUGGGGUUGUAAAGCUCUUUCGUCCGGGACGAUAAUGACGGUACCGGAAGAAGAAGCCCCGGCUAACUUCGUGCCAGCCGCCGCGGUAA
rnacentral:rRNA from 1 species